rnacentral:rRNA from 1 species
AUUGAACGCUGGCGGCAGGCCUAACACAUGCAAGUCGAGCGGAUGAAGGGAGCUUGCUCCUGGAUUCAGCGGCGGACGGGUGAGUAAUGCCUAGGAAUCUGCCUGGUAGUGGGGGAUAACGCCCGGAAACGGGCGCUAAUACCGCAUACGUCCUGAGGGAGAAAGUGGGGGAUCUUCGGACCUCACGCUAUCAGAUGAGCCUAGGUCGGAUUAGCUAGUUGGUGGGGUAAAGACCUACCAAGGCGACGAUCCGUAACUGGUCUGAGAGGAUGAUCAGUCACACUGGAACUGAGACACGGUCCAGACUCCUACGGGAGGCAGCAGUGGGGAAUAUUGGACAAUGGGCGAAAGCCUGAUCCAGCCAUGCCGCGUGUGUGAAGAAGGUCUUCGGAUUGUAAAGCACUUUAAGUUGGGAGGAAGGGUAGUAAGUUAAUACCUUGCUGUUUUGACGUUACCAACAGAAUAAGCACCGGCUAACUUCGUG